CUUUUCCAAACCUGAACACAAACUUUAUGUGCUUUCCUGUCAUUAAAAUAGCUAUUUGCAAAAGCCUUUGUUACAGAAUCUCCUAUGAAAUAAAUAGUUUCUUUUGAGUGAUUGGAAUGUGACAGAGAGUACAAACUAUGGUUAUCUGAUUGAAGAAAUGGUGCCCAUUCAUUUCCAAUCCAUCUGCCAAGACCAGUCCAGAUGAAGGAGCACUUUCUUGCGCAGUUUGACUUUAGUCUGUUAGAACAGC